rnacentral:rRNA from 1 species
UGGGGAAUAUUGGGCAAUGGAGGAAACUCUGACCCAGCGACGCCGCGUGAGGGAUGAAGGCCUUCGGGUUGUAAACCUCUUUCAGUAGGGAAGAAGCGAAAGUGACGGUACCUACAGAAGAAGCACCGGCUAAUUAUGU